AUGGCCAGCCUCGCCGACCUCGUCAACCUCGACCUCAGCGACUGCACCGACAAGAUCAUCGUCGAGUACCUCUGGGUUGGAGGAUCCGGUAUCGACAUCAGGAGCAAAGCAAGGACGGUGAACGGCCCCAUCACCGACGCGAGCCAGCUGCCCAAGUGGAACUACGACGGCUCCAGCACCGGCCAGGCUCCCGGAGAGGACAGCGAAGUCAUCCUCUACCCCCAGGCCAUUUUCAAGGACCCGUUCAGGAGGGGUGACAACCUCCUUGUUAUGUGCGACUGCUACACACCCCAAGGUGUGCCAAUCCCCACGAACAAGAGGCACAACGCUGCCAAGAUCUUCAACACCCCGAAGGUUGCAGCUGAGGAGACAUGGUAUGGAAUUGAGCAGGAGUACACUCUCCUCCAGAAGGACGUGAACUGGCCUCUUGGCUGGCCCAUUGGUGGCUACCCUGGUCCGCAGGGACCAUACUACUGCGCCGCCGGCGCGGACAAGGCGUUCGGGCGUGACAUCGUGGACGCCCACUACAAGGCCUGCCUCUACGCCGGGAUCAACAUCAGCGGCAUCAACGGGGAGGUCAUGCCCGGCCAGUGGGAGUUCCAAGUUGGGCCGUCCGUCGGGAUCGCGGCGUCCGACCAGCUGUGGGUGGCGCGCUACAUCCUCGAGAGGAUCACUGAGGUUGCCGGGGUGGUGCUGUCCCUGGACCCGAAGCCGAUCCCGGGCGACUGGAACGGCGCGGGCGCGCACACCAACUACAGCACCAAGUCGAUGCGGGAGGCCGGCGGGUACGAGGUGAUCAAGACGGCCAUCGAGAAGCUGGGCAAGCGGCACGCGCAGCACAUCGCCGCCUACGGCGAGGGCAACGAGCGCCGCCUCACGGGCCACCACGAGACCGCCGACAUCAACACCUUCAAGUGGGGCGUGGCGGACCGCGGCGCGUCCGUCCGCGUGGGCCGCGACACCGAGAAGGACGGCAAGGGCUACUUCGAGGACCGCAGGCCGGCCUCCAACAUGGACCCCUACGUCGUCACCUCCAUGAUCGCCGAGACCACGCUCCUCCUCUGA
rnacentral:rRNA from 1 species